AUUGAACGCUGGCGGCAGGCCUAACACAUGCAAGUCGAGCGAGCUGCGGACGGGUGAGUAAUGUCUGGGAAACUGCCUGCUGGAGGGUGAUAACUACUGGAAACGGUAGCUACUACCGCAUACCAUCCGAUUUGCCCAGAUGGGAUUAGCUAGUAGGUGGGGUAACGGCUCACCUAGGCGCCGAUCCCUAGCUGGUCUGAGAGGAUGACCAGCCACACUGGAACUGAGACACGGUCCAGACUCCUACGGGAGGCAGCAGUGGGGAAUAUUGCACAAUGGGCGCAAGCCUGAUGCAGCCAUGCCGCGUGUAUGAAGAAGGCCUUCGGGUUGUAAAGUACUUUCAGCGGGGAGGCGUUACCCGCAGAAGAAGCACCGGCUAACUCCGUGCCAGCAGCCGCGGUAAUUC
rnacentral:rRNA from 1 species